rnacentral:siRNA from 1 species
UGCUCACGUGGAUGCCACGUAUGA